ACGGGAGGCAGCAGUAGGGAAUAUUGGACAAUGGGUGAGAGCCUGAUCCAGCCAUGCCGCGUGCAGGAAGAAGGCGUUAUGCGUUGUAAACUGCUUUUGCCAGGGGAUAAAAUAACUGUGCGCAGUUAAUUGAAGGUACCUGGUGAAUAAGCCACGGCUAACUACGUGCCAGCAGCCGCGGUAAUACGUAGGUGGCAAGCGUUGUCCGGAUUUAUUGGGUUUAAAGGGUGCGUAGGCGGCCCCGUAAGUCAGUGGUGAAAUAUCUCAGCUUAACUGAGAGGGUGCCAUUGAUACUGCGGGGCUUGAGUACAGAUGAGGUAGGCGGAAUUGACGGUGUAGCGGUGAAAUGCAUAGAUAUCGUCAAGAACACCGAUAGCGAAGGCAGCUUACCAAGCUGUAACUGACGCUGAGGCACGAAAGUGUGGGGAUCAAACAGGAUUAGAUACCCUGGUA
rnacentral:rRNA from 1 species